rnacentral:misc_RNA from 1 species
AACGCACGAGACCUGCGGACCUGCGGAAGGAUCAUUACACAAUACAAUAUGAAGGCUGUCCGCAGCUGGAGUAUUUUAUUACCCUUGUCUUUUGCGCACUUGUUGUUUCCUGGGCGGGUUCGCUCGCCACCAGGACCACCAAAUAAACCUUUUUUAUGCAGUUGCAAUCAGCGUCAGUACAAACAAUGUAAAUCAUUUACAACUUUUAACAAUGGAUCUCU